AAUGCUAAACCCUAUGUCAACUUUCUGAAAACUAAUGUAUUUGUAUGUAGGCAAUUGGCCAGAGAAUCAAAGAACCGUGAGCUUAGUGUUGAAUUCAUUGACACCCAGGAUUUCUCUGCCGGAGUGAUCAAUAAGGAUCCGCAGCACGUAGAGUCUGCCAUCACAAAGGUCUUGGGCUCUUCACCAUGUUGUGUGCUUGCCGCGCACCACACAGGCUCCCACUAUUUCCUAGCCGUCAUCUGUCCGAAGUGGAAAAUAGUGUGGUACAUAGACUCCUUAAGAUCACUCGGCGACGAUGGCAUCACUCUGGGACAACGAGACUUCACCAGCACCAAGGCGGUUAUUGAUAGGUAUAUCUCUGAGUUACCACAUUUGCAAUCUUCUUAUUUGGAGCCUGUCACCUAUUUAAUUUGCAGCUAACGACAUCCAUAACGCCUAAUGCAGUACUUUCCCCACCUUUCGAGCCGAGCACUGUCUUCCAAAAACCAAGUUGACGCACGUGACCGAUUUUUCGUGCAUGCAGCAAGGACCUGGAAAUGUAUGCGGGUUCUAUGUUGCAUACCACAUGAUCCGCCUUGCUACAAGUUUCAAAACCCUUAAAGAAUCAAAAGAUGUGCGGGGUCAUCCGGACAAGCAAUUGGACGACAAGCAGCUCUUGGGUAUUAGAGAAAAGCUUGCCUCCUUCUUGCUUCUAGAUGUCAUAAGCGACAAAGGUGACUUCCACUGUCACAGCUGAUGAACUGAUAAUUGUAUAUGUGUACUGUUAAUUCUUUCAUGGACCUACUCUCAAUUCAUGUGAUUAUUGUAUAUGUGUACUGUUAAUUUAUAGUGCAGAGAUACAAUAUAUAGUUUGUCAUGUACAGUUGGUGGUUGUUUUUUAUGUAAGCUUUGCGAGAUAUCAAUUGAG